AUGGCGACGGACUUCCCCAUGACUCCAGUGGACAGGUUGCCUAUUUUUGCUCAUGAGGCCUGCGGCGCUGUCAUUUUAGUGAAAAUGGUACAGGGUGGGGAUGGUAUGCCCAAAGUUCAUUCAUUGGGCGGAUCCAGAUUGGGGGUGGUUGAAGCAGGGGUCAGUGCCGGAGCCGGGUUCAGUGGUACUGGGUACGGCGACCAAAUAAGUGUUGAUGGUGGAGGUGGGGCAGUGUCGGAUUUCAAUGAGAGUGAGGGAGAUAACGCUGAUGCGUUUGAGCAAGGAGGUACACGAGUAGAGUAG
rnacentral:rRNA from 1 species